rnacentral:rRNA from 1 species
UACGGGGGGGGUAAGCGUUGUCCGGAUUUAUUGGGCGUAAAGAGCGUGUAGGCGGCUAGGUAGGUCCGUUGUGAAAACUCGAGGCUCAACCUCGAGACGUCGAUGGAAACCAUCUAGCUAGAGUCCGGAAGAGGAGAGUGGAAUUCCUGGUGUAGCGGUGAAAUGCGCAGAUAUCAGGAAGAACACCCGUGGCGAAGGCGGCUCUCUGGUACGUGACUGACGCUGAGACGCGAAAAGCGUGGGGAGCGAACAGG